rnacentral:lncRNA from 1 species
AGGAGUCAAAAAGGGGGCUAAGUGUGUGUAAUUAAAGGUGUUCUAGAGAGAGAAAGUGAGAGAGAAGAAGAGUGUAUAUAUGUGUGCGUGAAUCUUGUGUCGGAACAUCAUUCUAAUCAUAUAAACAUUGAAGAUUCGUCACAUUCAUCAUCUUCUUAUUAUCCCUCUUCUUCAUUUUGAUAUUGCAUCAUCCAAUUUAUUGGGAUUCCAUACCAUCAAUUGAAUAUGAUUGAUACAUCAAGCAAAAUGUGGACUUUACAGUUGGUAUCAUAACUUGGAUUGUAUCGACCAUUUGGGCAAGAUAUGAAGCGUUUUUGCACUUUCUUGAAGGAUUUUGCUUUUUUGGAUAGUUUUUGACAAAAUAAUGAGGGUUUGUUCUUCGUGUUUUUCAUAAAAAUGAGUUUUUUAUCGAGUUUUGGGCUAAAAAGGGGUGAAAAAGCUGUUUUUUCGUAAUCUACGACGAAAUCGUGUUUGCAGUUCAACCGUUUGCGGCCGAAAACUCAUUUACAGCUAGGGUUUCACGUGCGUUUGCGGUCAGACCUCGGCGGCGACAGUAAUCUCAUAUUAGGGUUCCUCGGUGUUUUGGGCUUCUGAAGUCGGCCAAACUCGUUUACAGCUCUCAGAUCUUCGGCCCACGAGGUUUGCGGUCAGCAGAGUGCACGUGUUCGGUUCAAACGAGCUUCGGUCGCGCACGUGUGCGGUCCUGGGCUCCUUGCAUGUGGUCUAGUUGUUUUUCGUAAUCUACGACGAAAUCGUGUUUGCAGUUCAACCGUUUGCGGCCGAAAACUCAUUUACAGCUAGGGUUUCACGUGCGUUUGCGGUCAGACCUCGGCGGCGACAGUAAUCUCUUCGGCCCACGAGGUUUGCGGUCAGCAGAGUGCACGUGUUCGGUUCAAACGAGCUUCGGUCGCGCACGUGUGCGGUCCUGGGCUCCUUGCAUGUGGUCUAGUUGGCAACAACAACGAAUAUUCAAAAAUCACAAGGAGUUGC